GACAGAGGGUGCGAACGUUGUUCGGAAUUACUGGGCGUAAAGCGCGUGUAGGCUGUUCGGUAAGUCGGGUGUGGAAGCCCUGGGCUCAACCUAGGAAGUGCACUCGAAACUCCCGAACUGGAGUCCCGGAGAGGAAGGUGGAAUUCUCGGUGUAGAGGUGAAAUUCGUAGAUAUCGAGAGGAACAUCGGUGGCGAAGGCGGCCUUCUGGACGGUGACUGACGCUGAGACGCGAAAGCGUGGGGAGCAAACAGG
rnacentral:rRNA from 1 species